rnacentral:rRNA from 1 species
GUCCAUGCCAUAAACGAUGAAUACUAGGUUUUGGGCCCGUCAACGGUCCAGAGCCGCAGCUAACGCGUUAAGUAUUCCGCCUGGGGAGUACGGUCGCAAGACUGAAACUCAAAGGAAUUGACGGGGGCCCGCACAAGCGGUGGAGCAUGUGGUUUAAUUCGACGCAACGCGAAGAACCUUACCAAGGCUUGACAUGGGGAAGACUGGACGAGAGAUCGUCCUUCUCUAGCAAUAGAGCUUCCCACACAGGUGCUGCAUGGCUGUCGU